ensembl:snRNA U6 U6 spliceosomal RNA
GCUCACUUUGGCAGCACGUGAACUACAUCGGAACAAUACAGAGAAGAUGAGCACAGCCCCUGUGCAAGGAUGACACAAAUUUGUGAAGUGUUCUGUAUUUUU